UACAGAGGGGGCAAGCGUUGUUCGGAAUUACUGGGCGUAAAGGGCGCGUAGGCGGCCUGCUAAGUCGAACGUGAAAUCCCCGGGCUCAACCCGGGAACUGCGUCCGAUACUGGAAGGCUUGAAUCCGGGAGAGGGAUGUGGAAUUCCAGGUGUAGCGGUGAAAUGCGUAGAUAUCUGGAGGAACACCGGUGGCGAAGGCGUCAUCCUGGACCGGUAUUGACGCUGAGGCGCGAAAGCCAGGGGAGCAAACGGG
rnacentral:rRNA from 1 species